rnacentral:rRNA from 1 species
UACAGAGGUCCCAAGCGUUGUUCGGAUUCAUUGGGCGUAAAGGGUGCGUAGGCGGCGCGGUAAGUCGGGUGUGAAAUCUCGGGGCUUAACUCCGAAACUGCAUUCGAUACUGCCGUGCUUGAGGACUGGAGAGGAGACUGGAAUUUACGGUGUAGCGGUGAAAUGCGUAGAUAUCGUAAGGAACACCAGUGGCGAAAGCGGCUUCCUGGUCCGACACCGACGUUCAGGCACGAAAGCGUGGGGAGCAAACAGG